GUCUCCAAACACGUGAUAAAUUUCCGACAAGUCUAAGUAUCAUCACUCCCUAUAACAAUCGAACGGUAAAAAAAAUAUAAAAAAAUCAUAGCAGAGAAAAUCAAACCUCCUCUUUAAAUUAGUUUCUCUCUUCUUCUUUCUUCACUCCCCAAAGAUCACAUAUUUUUCUUCACGAGAAAUUCUUUUUUUCCUCAUUAGAAAAAUGGAUUCUUUUCCGAUAACAAAUAUCCGGACGCAGAUCCUCCGAACGCAAAUCCUCUGGACGCAAAUCCUCCGACUCCUCCUGGUUCGCAUGAAACUGUGAGUAGUUUCCCGAUUCUCUUAGGGUUAUGGUUUACGCGAUGAUUCUCUUUCGCGAUCUU